UCUCAACAAGUGGGUUGGUGUUUGAUUGAGCAUUUUCAUUGUGGCUCAAGUAGUCAGUCUGUUUGUCAGUUGAUUGGGUGUUUCUCUAAAUAAGAUUUGAACUUCUUCAUAGGCCUUUUAUUAGCUAUUGUUUAGGUAGUCACUCAGCUUCCUCAUGUAUUACAAUAGAUGAUGAACAGAGAUGCAUUCUCAGUAUCAUGUUGUAAACCUCAUAUGGGUUAUUAGACAUAAAGCCAAAGGAGCACAGAGAGAUUGUUCUGAUUAGUUUCCAUUGCUAAUUCUUUGCAUGGAGGAUGGAGGAUCAUAUGAAGGGAGCAGUGUGCUUGGAAUGUCAAGGGCAAAAGCAGCAUGGAGGCGAAAAGAAAAGAUGAAGUUGUCCAAGAUGAACAUACCCGGAUUUGAAUAAUUGGUCAAGUCAUACAAGGAGCGAAUGAUUGAUUUGAAACAGUAGUUUGAUUUCAGAGGCCGAUUAGUGGAAGAAAAGGCUGAGACCAUUCCAAGAGGGGAACACAGGAAGAUUGGUAUCUUACGUCUUUUUCUCUUUUGUCCAGAGAUUCUCUUUCAUGCUUUGGACGGUUGCCAUUUUUUGACAUCUUCAAUACAUCUUGAUGUAGGACAGACUUAAAUUUCUCUUCUCACAUUGAAAUGAUGAGAUUGGAGAUGUUAUAAUGAAGAGGGUGGAAAAUUUCAGGCUUGAAAAUCAAAACAUGCAAGUGGGUUUGUUUUUUGUUUUUAUCAGGCAUAGAAGCUCCAAUCUUUGCCAUUUUGUCAAUAUGUUUUUAUUGGGCAUUAAUGAGUUGUAAGAAGAGAGUGUUUUGGCUUUUGUAAGUUCAAAACAAAACAGUAAUCCUCUUGUUUGUUUUUGGAUUUUGGAUGAUAUAAAAAGUAAAAACAAUUUGUUGGCUGUUUGAA